rnacentral:rRNA from 1 species
CCUACGGGUGGCAGCAGUGGGGAAUAUUGGACAAUGGGGGCAACCCUGAUCCAGCCAUGCCGCGUGUGUGAAGAAGGCCCUCGGGUUGUAAAGCACUUUCAGUGAGGAAGAACGCCUGGUGGUUAAUACCCAUCAGGAAAGACAUCACUCACAGAAGAAGCACCGGCUAACUCCGUGCCAGCAGCCGCGGUAAUACGGAGGGUGCGAGCGUUAAUCGGAAUUACUGGGCGUAAAGCGCGCGUAGGUGGCUUGAUAAGCCGGUUGUGAAAGCCCCGGGCUCAACCUGAGAACGGCAUCCGGAACUGUCAAGCUAGAGUGCAGGAGAGGAAGGUAGAAUUCCCGGUGUAGCGGUGAAAUGCGUAGAGAUCGGGAGGAAUACCAGUGGCGAAGGCGGCCUUCUGGACUGACACUGACACUGAGGUGCGAAAGCGUGGGUAGCAAACAGGAUUAGAUACCCUGGUAGUC